CUGGACUCUCAUAGUGAAUGGCUC
rnacentral:piRNA from 1 species